GACGUAGGGCGCGAGCGUUGUCCGGAAUUAUUGGGCGUAAAGAGCUCGUAGGCGGUCUGUCGCGUCCGUUGUGAAAACUCGAGGCUCAACCUCGGGCUUGCAGUGGAUACGGGCAGACUAGAGUGCGGUAGGGGAGACUGGAAUUCCUGGUGUAGCGGUGAAAUGCGCAGAUAUCAGGAGGAACACCCGAGGCGAAGGCGGCCCUCUGGCUCGACCCUGACGCUGAGGCGCGAAAGCGUGGGGAGCGAACGGG
rnacentral:rRNA from 1 species